rnacentral:rRNA from 1 species
UACAGAGGGUGCGAGCGUUAAUCGGAAUUACUGGGCGUAAAGCGUGCGUAGACGGUUAUUUAAGUCGGAUGUGAAAGCCCCGGGCUCAACCUGGGAAUUGCAUUCGAGACUGAAUAGCUAGGGUGCGGUAGAGGGAAGCGGAAUUUCCGGUGUAGCGGUGAAAUGCGUAGAUAUCGGAAGGAACAUCAGUGGCGAAAGCGGCUUCCUGGACCAGCACCGACGUUCAGGCACGAAAGCAUGGGGAGCAAACAGG